GGAGCUUUCCCUGGUGGUUCUCAGUUGGAUUACAAUAAUGUGGAGGAACCUGCAUCAAGUGACAUCCCCCAGACUCCAGAUGGUCAAGAGGUCCCUGUCCUGUCUGAAGGUGCCCCAUGGGACAGUUAUGAUGAUGCCAGAGAAGUUUCUAACACUGAAGAUGACCCUGCUUCUGGACUGAGUGCCCAGGAAGUCCCUGGGGCCCAUGGGGACAGUGACAGGAACAGAGAUGAUCAGACUGGCUGGAGUCUGCACUCGCUAAGAAGUGAAGGGGCCUCUGGGGCUGAGAGGGACGCCCUGUCCCCACCUCCUCAUGACCUGGGUUAUGAUGAUGUUGAUGAUGGUGCCUCUGGGACAUGAAUAUAAGAACAGCUGGGUUCAGAUCAAGUAUCCUGUGAGGAUGUAGAUGCUGUAUGGUUAGACUCUUCCUGUCCCAAAUGCACAUUCACCCAUGGAGGUAUCAGAGAAAA